AAGCAUGCACAAAAAUUAAAUUAAAUAUGACGCCCUACUUUUCUGCUCCUUCACGGGCGUAAUGUUAUGAUUAAUUUGAUGUGAUUAUGUUCACUUUGGCUACGAUAUUUGAUGCUGGAAUAAUUACCUCACAAUAAUUACUUUAUUUUAUGGAUCGUUUCAAAAUCAAACAAAACGUGUUAUCACAAAAUGAGACAUAUAAUAUUGCCAAUGUAUCGAAGAGGAUAACCAUAUUACAAAGAGACAUCUAGACUGAUUAUGAAAGAAGGAACUACAAAUAGUUAUCAACAUGUUUGGAAUUCAAUAUCGAAAUUUAUUGAUGAUCAGCCUUCUUGUUGAUACAAGCUGUUCAGGUUCCCGAACAAUUCCAAUUCAAACCGUUAGUGUAAAUGGAACAGCCCAUAUUCACUGGUCAAUGAAGUCAACC